UACGGAGGAUGCGAGCGUUAUCCGGAUUUAUUGGGUUUAAAGGGUGCGUAGGCGGGCUUUUAAGUCAGCGGUAAAAAUUCGGGGCUCAACCCCGUCCGGCCGUUGAAACUGGGGGCCUUGAGUGGGCGAGAAGAAGGCGGAAUGCGUGGUGUAGCGGUGAAAUGCAUAGAUAUCACGCAGAACCCCGAUCGCGAAGGCAGCCUUCCGGCGCCCUACUGACGCUGAGGCACGAAAGUGCGGGGAUCGAACAGG
rnacentral:rRNA from 1 species